CGUCUAUAUACGUAUAGCAUAUCAAUAAGCGGAGGAAAAGAAACUAACUAGGAUUCCCUCAGUAACGGCGAGUGAAGCGGGAAGAGCUCAAAUUUGAAAUCUUCAAGGUUCUACCUUGACGAAUUGUAGUUUAAAGAAGUGUUUUCUGUUGAAGUUUCGGUAAAAGUUCUUUGGAAUAGGACAUCAUAGAGGGUGAGAAUCCCGUAUUUGACCAUUAUCUCCAGCUUUGUGAUACACUUUCAAAGAGUCGGAUUGUUUGGGAAUGCAGUCCAAAAUGGGUGGUAAAUUUCAUCUAAAGCUAAAUACUGGCGAGAGACCGAUAGCGAACAAGUACCGUGAGGGAAAGAUGAAAAGAACUUUGAAAAGAGAGUUAAACAGUACGUGAAAUUGUCAAAAGGGAAGCGUUUGACACCAGUGUUGUUUUCUCGAAAAUCAAUUAAAAAAGGCCGGAUUUUGUGUUGUAUUGACUUUAUCAGCUUUCUGCACUCUUUUCUUGUCUUUUUUAAUGCACUUUUCGUUUAACAAGUCAACAUCAAUUUCUUUUGUUGUAAAAGGGUCAUUGGAAGGUGGCUUUCUUUUCGGAGAAAGUGUUUAUAGCCUUUGGCCUCUGCAAUCGGAGAGAUUGAGGUCUGCAGCGUAGAUCCUUCGGGGUUAGAUACAUUUGUGCUAAGUUAUAGCCUUUCAUAGACAACUUGUUGACUAUGAUCAGUCAUGUAGCUUACUCGCUUAUGCUAUUUUACCUACGCUUAGGAUGUUGAAGUCAUCGUAUCGCGCGUGCUUGAUCUAUACAUGACUCUGUGCAUAUCAAUAAGCGGAGGAAAAGUCAAUACCUACGCUUAGGAUGUUGAAGUCAUCGUAUCGCGC
rnacentral:rRNA from 1 species